rnacentral:lncRNA from 1 species
AGGGGUAGUACUUGACUACAUAGAUUCCGAGUUCUAUACUCCAAAACGACAAUGACCUUCUUAAGAAACUGUGCGUAGUUAGUGGGAUAUUACGUGCAUCCAGUGGUUAUAUCCCGUGUUAGAGGCUGUAUUUGACUAAUUUCCCUUGUUUAUUUGUUGUCCAAAAUUAUUUGACUUGUGUUAUCAUUUUUAUAUUAAUAUAAAGUCGUGGGAAAAAACUCAAUAAACACCCAUCUAAGCAAAAGGGGGUUGUUGAAGCCUUGAAAUAAGUAACAUUAUUAUUUCCUUCACUCAAAUGCAAGAUUAAAGAAGAAAAAGCUGAGAGAAUGGAAGGCUUGGUCCCAAUGGUGUUGAAGAUGUUCAAGAAGAGGAGCGAGACUCGCCGGGAAUGCAAUUCUCUCUCGGCUCCUGCAACUCAUAGUUACAAUAUAGUGGACUUCUAUCCUAAUGGUUACAACUUCCAGUAUGGGAGAGUACCGAGGCAACAACAGGAUCAAAGGAUUGAUGAUGGUUUUCGUGCUGAAACUAAGUUUAGCCAACGACGAAACAAGUCUUUUAAUCAUGUUGGUUAUGCUGCUGGUGGCCGAUAUUCCCCUCUGGAUUCUGUCAAGUCCUGUAAACAACUUGUGAGUCAGCGAAGAAUGUUCUCAUGUAUCACUGGUGCCUAAAACUUUGUCCCUCCCUCCCCCACCCCCCGGCCUUCAUGUCAUGUCUCCCGGCCUUCAUGUUCUCAUGAAAUCUGAUACUCGUUCAUUGCCAAUGAAGUUUCCCUGGGAAGAAUAAGGACCUGAACUUGUAAUCUUCAUGCUUAGUCUCAAUACCAAAGAUGAAGCAGAUUCCAUGGCAUUUGUUCCAUCAUCAUCAGCUGAACUCAUAGGGGAAGACUGUUCUUAUUCUUCCUGAUUCACACAACUUUUAGCUUCCUGUAAGCAGAUAGUUCCUUCAUAUAUCUACAGCUUGCAAAUAAUUGGAAAGGGUAAUAAUAUAUCUAAGAAGUGACUCCCAAUCUACUCUCAUUUUCCAUCAUGUUUUCCUUAUGUAAAAAACUGAUAAAAUUAAGUAGUAUUCGUAUCAGAUGUGCUUGACUAGACACUGUCCGAAUCCAUCUAUCUUACCGAUUAUUGGAUCUUCACAUACAGCAUAAUGCAAAUUCAAAUUUUUUGUUAUUCUUUUUAGCAGAAAUAGAAAAGCAUUCAUUAUAAUCCAAAAUUCAUACUUGAACUACAUGUGGAUGGGAGAUUAAGUUCAAAUCAUUCAAGAAUGCAGCAACUUCUACUGUACAAAUAUCGGUUGCUUAUUUUGUAACCAAACUUCAAUUUAUAAAAAUUCUUUGGACAAAUAUAUGCAGCAUUUGCUACAUUUUCUUUCACAUGUUAUAUAGAUCCUACAUGCUAUCAGAUAGAAGGAGUCUACACAAAAAUCAUAAACCCUUUUCUUCCAGGCUGAGGAAAGCAGAAGAUUUUAAAAACAAGAAAUAAAAAAAUUACAAAAACUACUUGCACAACACCUAGAAUCAAGAUUGAAAGAUUGCACUAGAAGUAGUACUUAUCAAAAAAAAAAAAACUGCACUUGCAACAAUAAUUAAGAAUCACUACCGGCAGAAGAAGAAAAUCUCAUACGCUGGUCCGAUCUAAAUAAUAAAAUGCAGGGUCAAUAGACAAAGUUCGGAAUCUAGUUGCUGUUAAAAUAUAUCGAUGGUUCAAUGUGGAGUGAUGAAUGUGUUUGCUGAUGAUCAUCUAACCAUAAUAAUUCUGCAGAAAGUGAGGAAAAUGAAGAAAAAGAUGAUUAGAUGACCAUCAACAAAACAUAUUCAUCAUCAUAUCUGCAUAAAACACACACAAAAGGUCUUAAACUCCAGCAAAGUCAUACUACUAAAGGACAAACACCCAUAAUAGGACGGUUUGUAUUAUAAGUCUUGCAAGUAUAUACUCUGGAAUAUUUCUCCAAGAUAAGCAUAUUCUUUGGGAAUAAACCUCCAGUUGGACUCCUUAUAAUGGUUGGUGAGAAAUGAAUGAGUGUUCAUUUUGAAUUUGAAGAGUGAAAAACUUACCAACACAUAAAUGGUGAAUACUGUGAGAGAUGGUGAUAAAGAGACUGGGUAAGAGAGAUAGAGACUGUAAUGGACUAUAAUAAUGAAUGAUAGAAGUUAAAAUAACCUCCUUUAGAUCAGGUUGGAUUGAAAUGGACCAAUUGGACAGUAGGUGAAGCAGUUAGGCCUACCAAAAACACCUAACUCAACUAAUACCUUGUUUUUCUCAUGUCCAAAAAAAAACACUAAAGUUUUGUUCUAACUUUUUUUAUUUUUAAAUCAUGGGUAUUCAACCCUAUUAGAGAAUCCCACGUGCAAGUAUCACUUGGAGUUUGCAAGGUUUGAUCAUGGUGGAACACAUGCCACUGAGUACAAGGAUCAUGUGUGUUCCAAUUUCUUAGACCACUCCACUAAUCCCACGAGUACACGUCCCCUUAAAAGAUUUGUGCACCGGGUAAAUUCAAGUAUAAACUCCUAUGGGUACUCGUCGGAGUUGGCGAGAUAAAGUCCUAUGGGUACUCGUCAGAGUUGGCGAGAUUUGAUCAUGGUCGAUCACAUGCAGUACAAGGAUCCUGUUUUCCCUUCUAUACUGUUUAGGCCUAUGUUAAUAUCGAAUAUGCAAUAGGCAAUCAACACCAAUCCUGCUAAAAGAAGCCACUAAUAAGUAUCAAAUUAUUAAUACUUGUCCAGAAAACAAAAGAGUUUGCAUAGACAAAACAAAUUACUAAAAUAAAAUAAAGAAUUGAGCUAAUUAAGCUACUAUAAAUUAAAGAAUUAAGUUAAUUAAUCAUGUUUAAAAAACGUAGGGAAUCUGAAAGUCCAGCUUUUGUUAAUGACUUUAAAGAAGACAAACUGAAAUAACAGCAACCAGGUUACUAUUGUCCAUCUUACCUUGUUAACUCGUGACCUCGGUUCAGUCACUCUCCUGGUUAAAUUAGCCAGAUUCAC